GACAGAGGGUGCAAACGUUGCUCGGAAUCACUGGGCGUAAAGGGCGUGUAGGCGGGAAGGAAAGUCAGAUGUGAAAUCCCUGGGCUCAACCCAGGAACUGCAUUUGAAACUCCCUUUCUUGAGUGUCGGAGAGGAAAGCGGAAUUCCUGGUGUAGAGGUGAAAUUCGUAGAUAUCAGGAGGAACAUCGGUGGCGAAGGCGGCUUUCUGGACGACAACUGACGCUGAGACGCGAAAGCGUGGGGAGCAAACAGG
rnacentral:rRNA from 1 species